rnacentral:lncRNA from 1 species
AGAUCUAGAUUAGGCACUUGGAUAUCGGCCCGCGCGGCCCGAGAUUUUCGUUCACCUGCGGCCGCCGCGUUUUGUGUCAGAAAUCGGGCCCCGUGAGGGGGGUACCUAUUUGUUUUGUUUCGUUUAUAGUGUUCUUUUCAAUUUAUGGAUUACUUCCGCCUAUCAAAUUAAAGAGGAAAGAAAGGCGCGUAUUAUGGCGUUUUCCACUUCGGGAUCGGUUGUGUGUGUUCGGAGUUACAAGGAGUUAAAAAUAAGCCCCUGAUCACAACCUGCCACUGUUCCAUUGGAUUUAUUGACAGCUCACCAGAAUAAAUCCUGACUUUAAUUAAAAUCCAGAAAUGCUUGCGGAGUUGGUCGAAUUCACAGAAAAACUUGUUUGAACAAGUUGCAAAAAAAUUGAGCACUUAAGAAAGCAUUUGUUGCAGACAAGAAAAAAAAAAUUGACAUUAAUUUAACAAUAUCAAGUUGGCAGACUGGGUGAACUAAACAAUUGCCAGAAAUAAAGAAAGAAUAAAUAAGUAUUGUGACACAAUUGCGUGCUUCAAAAAACAUGUCAUAUUUCACAACUAAUUGUCUUUGAAGAAGUUGAACAUUUAAAUAAACACAAUAAAAAUAUAAUGAAAAACUUGCUGAACAAACUGAAGUAAUAAAAUUAGAAGAGACUAUUGUUUAACUUACAGGGCAAUCUCAUGAGUUAAAGAUGUAAAAGAGAAAUCAAAGAUAAAGACAGAGUAAUUGAUCAUUUACAUGACAAAUUAAAACAUGAAAGAAACAUUCUAACAAUAACAUGCAAAA